rnacentral:lncRNA from 1 species
GAAGAUUAAUAUCUACUUUGGAUAUGUUGAAACUAGCAAAUUAAUAUUUAUAAGGUACAAACUAAUGCAACUGGGAGGGUCCUUUUGGAUUUUUUAUUUUUUAUUUCUUUUAAUGAAAUAGUAUAGCCGUGCGGCUAUACUAAGAUUUUUUGAAAAAACAACUUUUGACACGUGGCGCUAAAAGAGAGGGUUCUCACUUUUUUAUUUAAAAAAAAGGUACAGCCCAACGGCUAUACUCCGUGUUUUAAAUUAUUUUUAAAAUUGACCUUGUGUUGACACGUGGCGCCAAAUGGAUGGGGUUAAACUUUUUUUAUGUUUAAAAAUAAUAUAGCCGCACGGCUAUACUGAGUUUAGAUUUUCGAAACCGUCUAGCCGAGCCGCUAUACUAUUUAACACGUGGACGCUCUACAGGUGCUCUAUUUUUCACAAGGAGAUAGUAUAGCCGCGCGGCUAUACGCGAUUUUUCAUCUUUUUUCUUUUUUUAAAAAAAAAACAAGUAUAGCCGGCCGGCUGUACUUUCUAAAAAAACAAUUAAAAAAUAAAAUGUCUUUAAUAAAUAGUAUAGACGAGCGGUAACUAAUAAAUUAAAACCUAUUAGUUAAUUAAUUAAAUUGGGUUAAAGAGUUUAUAUGGUGAUAAUAAUUUUUAAAAAAACAACAUAAAUAUACGUACGUAUUUUUAAUGUUUCAUACACGUAAUUUUUACAAAAUUUUGAUUAAGACACACAAAAUUCACGUAUUAUACAAAUAAUUCUCACAUGUUAUUGAAUAAGAAUAACAUAUGUUAUAAAAAUUAUUAGAGUGGAAGAUUAAUAUCUACGUUGGAUAUGUUGAAACUAGCAAAUUAAUAUUUAUAAGGUACAAACUAAUGCAACUAGGAGGGUCCUUUUGGAUUUUUUAUUUUUUAUUUCUUUUAAUGAAAUAGUGUAGCCGUGCGGCGAUACUAAGAUUUUUUGAAAAAACAACAUUUGACACGUGGCGCUAAAAGAGAGGGUUCUCACUUUUUUUUUAAAAAAAAAAGGUACAGCCCAACGGCUAUACCCCGUGUUUUAAAUUUUUUUUAAAAUUGACCUUGUGUUGACACGUGGCGCCAAAUGGAUGGGGUUCAACUGUUUUUUAUAUUUAAAAAUAAUAUAGCCGCACGGCUAUACUGAGUUUAGAUUUUCGAAACAGUCUAGCCGAGCGGCUAUACUAUUUAACACGUGGACGCUCUGCAGCUGCUCUGUUUUUCACAAGGAGAUAGUAUAGCCGCGCGGCUAUACUCGAUUUUUUCCUUUUUUCUAUUUUUUUAAAAAAACAAGUAUAGCCGGCCGGCUUUACUGUCUAAAAAAAAUUAAAAAAUAAAAUGUCUUUAAUAAAUAGUAUGGACGAGCGGUAACUAAUAAAUUAAAACCUAUUAGUUAAUUAAUUAAAUUGGGUUUAAGAGUUUAUAUGGUGAUAAUAAUUUUUAAAAAAACAACAUAAAUGUACGUACGUAUUUUUAAUGUUUCAUACACGUAAUUUUUACAAAAAUUUGAGUAAGACACACAAAAUUCACGUAUUAUACAAAUAAUUCUCACAUGUUAUUGAAUAAGAAUAACAUAUGUUAUAAAAAUUAUUAGAGUGGAAGAUUAAUAUCUACUUUGGAUAUGUUGAAACUAGCAAAUUAAUAUUUAUAAGGUACAAACUAAUGCAACUAGGAGGGUCCUUUUGGAUUUUGUAUUUUGUAUUUCUUUUAAUGAAGUAGUAUAGCCGUGCGGCUAUACUAAGAUUUUUUGAAAAAACAACUUUUGACACGUGGCGCUAAAAGAGACGGUUCUCACUUUUUUAUUUAAAAAAAAAAAAGGUACAGCCCAACGGCUAUACUCCGCGUUUUAAAUUUUUUUUAAAAUUGACCUUGUGUUGACACGUGGCGCCAAAUGGAUGGGGUUCAACUUUUUUUAUAUUUAAAAAUAAUAUAGCCGCACGGCUAUACUGAGUUUAGAUUUUCGAAACAGUCUAGCCGCGCGGCUAUACUAUUUAACACGUGGACGCUCUGCAGCUGCUCUGUUUUUCAAAAGGAGAUAGUAUAGCCGCGCGGCUAUACUCGAUUUUUCAUCUUUUUUCUUUUUUUUUUCAAAAAAACGAGUAUAGCCGGCCGGCUUUACUUUCUAAAAAAACAAUUAAAAAAUAAAAUAUCUUUAAUAAAUAGUAUAGACGAGAGGUAACUAAUAAAUUAAAACCUAUUAGUUAAUUAAUUAAAUUGGGUUAAAGAGUUUAUAUGGUGAUAAUAAUUUUUAAAAAAACACCACAAAUGUACGUACGUAUUUUUAAUGUUUCAUACACGUAAUUUUUACAAAAAUUUGAGUAAGGCACACAAAAUUCACGUAUUAUACAAAUAAUUCUCACAUGUUAUUGAAUAAGAAUAACAUAUGUUAUAAAAAUUAUUAGAGUGGAAGAUUAGUAUCUACUUUGGAUAUGUUGAAACUAGCAAAUUAAUAUUUAUAAGGUACAAACUAAUGCAACUAGGAGGGUCCUUUUGGAUUUUUUAUUUUUUAUUUCUUUUAAUGAAAUAGUACAGCCGUGCGGCUAUACUAAGAUUUUUUGAAAAAACAACUUUUGACACGUGGCGCUAAAAGAGACGGUCCUCACUUUUUUAUUUGAAAAAAAAAGGUACAGCCCAACGGCUA